AUAUGUAAGACAAAAGGAGUCAGAGACCCUAUUCAUACAUGGCGACUGUUUUACUUUUGUUCUGUUAUUGUGCAAAUUAGCCUACCAAGCCUCAAUUAAGAGCAAGAAUUCUUUU